rnacentral:rRNA from 1 species
AGUUCGGGCCGCACGCGCGCUACACUGACAGAGCCAACGAGUUCUUCACCUUGGCCGAAAGGUCUGGGUAAUCUUGUUAAACUCUGUCGUGCUGGGGAUAGAGCAUUGCAAUUAUUGCUCUUCAACGAGGAAUGCCUAGUAAGCGCGUGUCAUCAGCAUGCGUUGAUUACGUCCCUGCCCUUUGUACACACCGCCCGUCGCUACUACCGAUUGAAUGGCUCAGUGAGGCCUUCGGACUGGCUUGGGGAGGUUGGCAACGACCACCCUAAGCCGGAAAGUUCGUCAAACUCGGUCAUUUAGAGGAAGUAAAAGUCGUAACAAGGUUUCCGUAGGUGAACCUGCGGAAGGAUCAUUACAUUCAGUAGCCUAGCUACUUGUUUUUACACCCUUGUUUUUUGCGUACCUAUUGUUUCCUCGGCGGGCUUGCUCGCCGGUUGGACAAAACUUAUAACCUUUUUUAAAUCUUCAAUCAGCGUCUGAAUUAUACAUAAUAAUUACAACUUUCAACAACGGAUCUCUUGGUUCUGGCAUCGAUGAAGAACGCAGCGAAAUGCGAUAAGUAGUGUGAAUUGCAGAAUUCAGUGAAUCAUCGAAUCUUUGAACGCACAUUGCGCCCCUUGGUAUUCCAUGGGGCAUGCCUGUUCGAGCGUCAUUUGUACCUUCAAGCUCUGCUUGGUGUUGGGCGUAUUGUCAAAUCCUCAGCGGUUAGACUCGCCUUAAAAGUAAUUGGCAGCCAGUGUUUUUGGUAAGUAAGCGCAGCACAUUUUGGCGUCUUAAUCCGUCCAACGGGGGGCAUUCCACAAAAGCCCUCCUUUCUCCCCUUUUUGGACCCCCGGAAUCAGGGGAAGGGGGAUACCCCCGCCUGGAAACUUUUAAGGCCAUUUUUCAAAUUAAACCGGGGGGGGAAAAAAAAAAAACCCCACCCGGGGGAAUUGGCCCCUAAAUAAACCGGCCAAAUGAAAACGGGCAAACAGCUUCAAAAUUUUGAAAAUCGGGGCUCUUUUCGGGGGCCCAAGUUUUAAUUUUCAAAAGGGGGCUUUUGGCUUUGGCACCGGCCCCAAUUUUUUUGGGAAAGGGCCUCCCAAAG